AGAGUUUGAUCCUGGCUCAGAGCGAACGCUGGCGGCAUGCUUAACACAUGCAAGUCGCGCGGUCAGCAAUGGCAGCGGCGGACGGGUGAGUAACACGUAGGAAUCUAUCCCAGGGUGGGGGACAACAGCGGGAAACUGCUGCUAAUACCGCAUGAUACCUGAGGGUCAAAGGCGCAAGUCGCCUUGGGAGGAGCCUGCGUCUGAUUAGCUUGUUGGUGGGGUAAAGGCCUACCAAGGCGACGAUCAGUAGCUGGUCUGAGAGGAUGAUCAGCCACAUUGGGACUGAGACACGGCCCAAACUCCUACGGGAGGCAGCAGUGGGGAAUAUUGGACAAUGGGCGCAAGCCUGAUCCAGCAAUGCCGCGUGUGAAGAAGGUCUUCGGAUUGUAAAGCACUUUUGGCAGGGACGAUGAUGACGGUACCUGCAGAAUAAGCCCCGGCUAACUUCGUGCCAGCAGCCGCGGUAAUACGAAGGGGGCUAGCGUUGCUCGGAAUGACUGGGCGUAAAGGGCGCGUAGGCGGCAUGUACAGUCAGAAGUGAAAUUCCUGGGCUCAACCUGGGGACUGCUUUUGAUACGUGCAAGCUAGAGUGAGGAAGAGGGUUGUGGAAUUUCCAGUGUAGAGGUGAAAUUCGUAGAUAUUGGAAAGAACACCGGUGGCGAAGGCGGCAACCUGGUCCUU
rnacentral:rRNA from 1 species